UCCUACAAAAUGGAAAAGAAACAGAUCAUCUCAGACCGCCUCACGAAUACGUGCCAUGGGUGGUUGUAGAUGAUACACCUCUCCUCGAUGACUAUGUGAAUUUCAUUCACUAUGUUUGCAAGGCAUACAAAGGCAAGUCUUUGCCCAAGACUUGCAGUUCACAUCCCAACACCUCAAUUAACAAGGACACCUCACUCCAAUCAGCCUGUCAUGCAAGUGAAGCAAGGUCAGGUGACAGUUCAGGGAAGCACCAGAUGAAGAUGGAAACCCUUGCAUGAUUAUUAUACAUGCAUCCUUUUAUUAUAGAAUAAAACAAAGGGAGUAUGUACCUGUGGCUUUCAAUUUCCCACGCAUGGUUCUUGCACAAGGAACUCCCCAGGUGGAUUCCUGUAGCUCAUAAACCAUAGGGUGAUGUAAUUAGUGGUUCUGCAAGCAUAUAAAUGAAAGGGAAAAUGCAUUUAAUAAA